rnacentral:tRNA from 1 species
GGCCCCAUAGCUCAGCUGGAUAGAGCGGCAGCCUUCGAAGCUGACGGUCGGGAGUUCGAAUCUCUCUGGGGCCGCCA